CCUACGGGAGGCUGCAGUGGGGAAUAUUGCACAAUGGGCGAAAGCCUGAUGCAGCAAUGCCGCGUGAAGGAAGAAGGCCUUCGGGUCGUAAACUUCUGUCCUUGGGGAAGAAGGACUGACGGUACCCAAGGAGGACACCCCGGCUAACUACGGGCCAGCAGCCGCGGUAAUACGUAGGGGGCAGGCGUUAUCCGGAAUUAUUGGGCGUAAAGAGUACGUAGGUGGGAACCUAAGCGCAGGGGUUAAGGCAAGGGCUAAACCAUUGAUCGCCCUGCGAACUGGGAUGCUAGAGUGCAGGAGAGGAAAGCGGAAUUCCUAGUGUAGCGGUGAAAUGCGUAGAUAUGUGGAGGAACACCGGUGGCGAAGGCGGCCUUCUGGAC
rnacentral:rRNA from 1 species